rnacentral:rRNA from 1 species
CUAGCUACAGGCUUAACACAUGCAAGUCGAGGUGCAGCAUGGUCUUAGCUUGCUAAGGCCGAUGGCGACCGGCGCACGGGUGAGUAACGCGUAUCCAACCUGCCUUACACUCUUGGACAGCCUUCUGAAAGGGAGAUUAAUACAAGAUGUUAUCAUGAGUAAGCAUUUUCACAUGAUUAAAGGUUUACCGGUGUAAGAUGGGGAUGCGUUCCAUUAGAUAGUAGGCGGGGUAACGGCCCACCUAGUCUUCGAUGGAUAGGGGUUCUGAGAGGAAGGUCCCCCACAUUGGAACUGAGACACGGUCCAAACUCCUACGGGAGGCAGCAGUGAGGAAUAUUGGUCAAUGGACGAGAGUCUGAACCAGCCAAGUAGCGUGAAGGAUGAAGGUUCUAUGGAUUGUAAACUUCUUUUAUACGGGAAUAAACGGAUCCACGUGUGGAUUUUUGCAUGUACCGUAUGAAUAAGGAUCGGCUAACUCCGUGCCAGCAGCCGCGGUAAUACGGAGGAUCCGAGCGUUAUCCGGAUUUAUUGGGUUUAAAGGGAGCGUAGAUGGGUUGUUAAGUCAGUUGUGAAAGUUUGCGGCUCAACCGUAAAAUUGCAAUUGAUACUGGCAGUCUUGAGUACAGUUGAGGUAGGCGGAAUUCGUGGUGUAGCGGUGAAAUGCUUAGAUAUCACGAAGAACUCCGAUUGCGAAGGCAGCUUACUAACCUGUAACUGACAUUGAUGCUCGAAAGUGUGGGUAUCAAACAGGAUUAGAUACCCUGGUAGUCCACACGGUAAACGAUGAAUACUCGCUGUAGGCGAUAUACAGUCUGCGGCCAAGCGAAAGCAUUAAGUAUUCCACCUGGGGAGUACGCCGGCAACGGUGAAACUCAAAGGAAUUGACGGGGGCCCGCACAAGCGGAGGAACAUGUGGUUUAAUUCGAUGAUACGCGAGGAACCUUACCCGGGCUUAAAUUGCAACCGAAUAUGGCGGAAACGCUAUAGCUAGCAAUAGCGGUUGUGAAGGUGCUGCAUGGUUGUCGUCAGCUCGUGCCGUGAGGUGUCGGCUUAAGUGCCAUAACGAGCGCAACCCUUGCCGAUAGUUACUAACAGGUCAUGCUGAGGACUCUGUCGGGACUGCCAUCGUAAGAUGUGAGGAAGGUGGGGAUGACGUCAAAUCAGCACGGCCCUUACGUCCGGGGCUACACACGUGUUACAAUGGGGGGUACAGAGGGCUGCUACCACGCAAGUGGAUGCCAAUCCCAAAAACCUCUCUCAGUUCGGAUUGAAGUCUGCAACCCGACUUCAUGAAGCUGGAUUCGCUAGUAAUCGCGCAUCAGCCACGGCGCGGUGAAUACGUUCCCGGGCCUUGUACACACCGCCCGUCAAGCCAUGGGAGCCGGGGGUACCUGAAGUGCGUAACCGCAAGGAGCGCCCUAGGGUAAAACUGG